UACGAGGGGGGCGAGCGUUAUUCGGAAUGAUUGGGCGUAAAGGGCAUCUAGUUGGUAUAAUUUAUUUGAAUUACAAAAUACCAGAGCUUUACUGUGGUUAGUUAUUUAAAUUAUUUUAUUUCUUUGUAAAAUAAUUGUAUGUAUAAAUUAUACUAGAGUAAAAUAAAGGAAGAAGGAAUUUCUGUUGGAGAGGUAAAAUUUGUAGAUAUCAGAAGGAACACCGAAAGCGAAGGCAUUUUUCUAUGUUUAUACUGACAAUGACGUGCGAAAACGUGGCCAGCAAACGGG
rnacentral:rRNA from 1 species